rnacentral:tRNA from 8 species
GUAGCUCAGCUGGAUAGAGUACUCGGCUACGAACCGAGCGGUCGGAGGUUCGAAUCCUCCC